AAAGGAAAAGCGCGCAACCGUUACUUGGUGCGCAGAUAUGAAUUAUAACGGUACAGUCCUUGGAGGUUGGCCAGAACCAGUGUGCAGUUUGUUGCAGGUAUCCUCUAGCUGCAGACGUGAAGCAAUAAACGGCGAGGGAGGCAAACCGAAUUAAUAAUAGUUGAAAAACCUGAAGAACUCCGUUCUAUGUGAAGUUAUGGCACCUGCAAGUGCAAAUCUCGGCUUGGAAUAAUCCUUAUUCUGGCAGGUGCAAUGCCUUGUUGGGCAUGGAGAUCUGAAAUACCCCUGCACCGAGCUAUCCCUGCCCAUUUGGCCUGGAGCCGUCAGUGGCCGUACCCAUCAAACCCAGGGCAAGCAUGCAUCGUGAUCAGAAUGGCUCAAGGCGAUGUAUGUCACUAGUGGAUGAAGAGCGUGAUGCUGUGACCCCCACCCUCUGCGCUCUUAAUAAUAUUGUUACGAGCCACCUCCUUGGACUAACGAAGAAGACAACGAUGACUGGGGCAUUACUCCUGUUCAGCCAUCUUGGCCAUUCCCCAUCGAGGCCUUCCAGUUUUCAAGCUGCAACUGUGAAACGUGAGAAGUCAUGUGAGCGCCGCCGCCACCACUGCAACUUCUGUGACUAUAACACUGUUAGAGUGGCUGAUCUGAAAAGACACACCGUGGUCCAUACAGGCGAGCGGCCAUUCGAGUGCCAUUUGUGCCCUCUGACAUUUUCACUGAAGAGUAAUCUCAAGGUACACCUGCGCACUCACACAGGCGAGAGGCCAUUCCGCUGCCCUUCAUGCCCUAAGACGUUCCUACAAAAGCAUAAUCUGAAUGUUCACUUGCGCACUCAUGCGCAGAGACGCAGCGCUGGCGUAGAGGCAGAGCAUCCACCUCGCAUGCAAGAGUACCGUGGUACGAAUCCUCGUGCCGCGCAAUUUUCCACCAGACCUAAGAAAAAAUAAAAUCCGUAUGUUGAUAAGAUUUCAUAAACGGGCCUGGAGUGUGGUCUGAUCCCGGUGACCAGAACCGGUAUCGCACUCCCUCACCAGAGUAGGAUUGGCCACCCUGGUGCAGUACUUGGCCACAACCUCCCAUAUGAACACAACCAUCAAACCCCGGCCCUCAGUCCCCAGCAGCUGUGAAGCAACUGACCACGGCGGCGGUCAGACCUGCGACGUAGCAGAGGGUGCUAAGAAUCCCUGGUUCCGGACCGGCCGCCAUUGGAAUCUGAACCUGGCAACGUUUAAUCCUAGAAUGUUAGCUAGUGAGGCGAGUCUAGCAGUGCUAUUGGAGAAAUUAGAGGGCAGUAAGUGGGAUAUAAUAGGGCUCAGUAAAGUUAGGAGGACAAAUGAAGCAUAUACAGUGCUAAAAAGCGGGCACGUCCUGUGCUACCGGGGCUUAGCGGAGAGACAAGAACUAGGAGUCAGUUUCCUGAUUAAUAAGGAUAUAGCUGGUAACAUACAAGAAUUCUAUAGCAUUAACAAGAGGGUGGCAGGUCUUGCUGUGAAACUUAAUAAGAGGUACAAAUUAAAGGUCGUACAGGUCUCCGCCCCCACAUCCAGUCAUGAUGACCAGGAAGUCGAAAGCUUCUAUGAAGAUGUUCUGUGAAGAUGUGGAAUCGGCGAUGGGUAAAGUCAAAACAAAAUACACUAUACUGAUGGGCAACGACAAUGCCAAGGUAGGCAAGAAGCAGGCUGGAGACAAGGCAGUGGGGGAAUAUGGCAUAGGCACUAGGAAUAUCAGGGGAGAGUUAUUAGUAGAGUUUGCGGAACAGAAUAAUAUGCAGAUAAUGAAUACCUUCUUCCGCAAACGGGAUAAUCGAAAGUGGAUGUGGAGGAGCCCGAAUGGCGAGACUAGAAAUGAAAUAGACCUUAUACUCUGCGCUAACCCUGGCAUCAUACAAGAUGUGGACGUGCUCGGCAAAGUUCACUGCAGUGACCAUAGGAUGGUAAGAACUCUAAUUAGCCUAGACCUGAGGAGGGAACUGAAGAAACUCGUACAUAAGAAGCCGAUCAAUUAGUUAGCGGUAAGAGGGAAACUAGAGGAAUUCCGGAUCAAGCUACAGAACAGGUAUUCGGCUUUAAUUUAGGAAGAGGACCUUAGUGUUGAAGAUAUGAACGACAGUCUUAUGGGCAUCAUUAAGGAGUGUGCAAUAGAAGUCGGUGGUAACUCUGUUAGACAGGAUAUCAGUAAGCUAUCGCAGGAGAUGAAAGAUCUGAUCAAGAAAUGCCAAUGUAUGAAAACCUCUAACCCUACAGCUAGAAUAGAACUGGCAGAACUUUCCAAGUCAAUCAACAAGCGUAAGACAGCUGACAUAAGGAAGUAUAGUAUGGAUAGAAUUGAACAUGCUCUCAGGAAUGGAGGAAGCCUAAAAGCAGUGAAGAAACUAGGAAUAGGCAAGAAUCAGAUGUAUGCGCUAAGAGACAAAGCCGGCAAUAUCAUUACUAAUAUGGAUGAGAUAGUUUAAGUGGCUGAGGAGUUCUACAGAGAUUUGUACCGUACCAGUGGCACCCACGACAAUAAUGGAAGAGAGAAUAGUCUAGAGGAAUUUGAAAUCCCACAAGUAACACCGGAAGAAGUAAAAAAAAACCUUGGGAGCUAUGCACAGAGGGAAGGCAGCUGGGGAGGAUCAGGUAACAGCAGAUUUGCUGAAGAAUGGUGGGCUGAUUGCUCUGGAAAAACUGGCCACCCUCUAUAUGCAAUGCCUCAUGACCUCGAGCGUACUGGAAUCUUGGAAUUAUGCUAACGUAAUCCUAAUCCAUAAGAAAGGGGACGCCAAAUACUUGAAAAAUUAUAGACCGAUCAGCUUACUGUCCGUUGCCUACAAAGUAUUUACUAAGGUAAUCGCAAAUAGAAUCGGGAACACCUUAUGCUUCUGUCAACCUAAGGACCAGGCAGGAUUCCGUAAAGGCUACUCAACAAUAGACCAUAUUCACACUAUCAAUCGGGUGAUAGAGAAAUGUGCGGAAUAUAACCAACCCUUAUAUAUAGAUUUCAUUGAUUACAAGAAAGCGUUUGAUUCGGUCGAAACCUCAGCAAUCAUGGAGGCAUUGCGAAAUCAGGGCGUAGACCCGUAUGUAAAAAUACUGAAAGAUAUCUAUAGCGCCUCCACAGCCUCCGUAGUCCUCCAUAAAGAAAGCAACAAAAUCCCAAUAAAGAAAGGCGUCAGACAGGGAGAUACGAUCUCUCCAAUGCUAUUCACAGCGUGUCUACAGGAGGUAUUCAGAGACCUGGAUUGGGAAGAAUUGGGGAUAAGAGUUAAUAUAGAAUACCUUAGUAACUUGAGAUUUGCUGAUGAUAUUGCCUUGCUUAGUAACUCAGGGGACCAACUGCAAUGCAUGCUCACUGACCUGGAGAGGCAAAGCCGAAGGGUGGGUCUAAAAAUUAAUCUGCAGAAAACUAAUGUUUAACAGUCUCGAAAGAGAACAGCAGCUUACGGUAGGUAACGAGGCACUGGAAGUGGUAAGGGAAUACAUCUACUUAGGACAGGCAGUGACCGCAGAUCCGGAUCAUGAGACUGAAAUAAUCAAAAGAAUAAGAAUGGGCUGGGGUGCAUUUGGCUUUUUCUUUAUUUUUGAAGAUAAAAUUUUGCCUGCGCACUCCAAUCGCACAAUCAAUCGAAACCGCCUUCGCAACGCUUGUAUGUUUUGCCGCAUAACGCAGCCGUAUUGUUGUCGAGGCAACUUUAAGAUGCUGGGUGGCAAAGCCCACUUUAGGAAACCAAGCGCCAUUGUGCAACAAUUUUUCUUGCCAAAAAAAUCGGAAGCGCGUUGGAUUUGUACUUUGUUAGGAGCUUUAUUGUCAUUUAUAUAUCAGUGUUCUACUUUGGAAACAUAGAAUGUGAGCAUGCGUUUGACUGGGAGGAGGGAGGGUUAAACUGGGGCAACUACUGCCAAAUGAAUCGGUGGUGUGUGUUGUCAGUUUUUUGCAUCUUGGUUUAAUUCAACCCGCCGGAUAAUUCGAUCAAUUUCGUCGGUCCCAUUAAAGUCGACAUUACAGUAGUCAACUGAAUUUGUAUUGUAUUCGAUUAAAAAAUUUUACUAUUCGAACACCCGUAAUAUUACCAACAUAUCCAUUUUGUUCCUACAGGAUAAUGUAACAAAGCUGUGGUUUCGGCUUCCCAGAGUAAAUGGCUUAUCUCAACAAAAUUUGAACACAUUGUAAAGGCACAAUACUGAAAGAGAUAUAAGAAAGACAUAAUAUCCAAAAUACUUGUCGCUGAGCAUUGCAUGAGGUGCACACAGUAUGAGGAAGUGUGUUGCCAAGUCCUGAAAACUGAACAGCGAGCACUGUUGCUGAUGUCCCCCUUUUUAUCACUUUGAGCAAUUGCGGUGCAACAUGAAACCACCGAGUAGACUGCAAAUAAUCCAGCAGUACACCCAAUGGAUGUUCAGCGCUGAACGUUCGGACAUUCACCGGAUAUUACCACAAAUCCAGAUGACGUACGACGGAUAUCCGAGAGACUGUCCCAUGCAAAAUCAAAGGCAUCCAAUUGGGCGUCCUGGAUACGUCCUCUUCGCGAACAUUCGAAUGUCGAUAGGAGGGUAAAAAAUGGGCGUCUUUUUAAGAAAUAUUCCAAGAAUAUCUGGUGGAUGAAACAAUCUAAACGUGUACAUCCAAGGUACAUUUGUAGGAUUGUGAAUGUAGACAUUGAUUGCAUAAAUGUUCAUAAGAUAUAGAGGACAUCUAAGAUAAAUCUGGAAUUUAUUUUCAGGUUUUGUUAGUGUGCUUCAAAUUACUCAUACUGCCCUUUUUCUGCUUUAGAAGCUGUACUCUACCUGAGGGCCAAUGUGCCACUUAUGUGCACCAUGCUGCACUGAAUUGCUUUACUGUGCAAUUGGGUACACAAAUAAGUGCUGUCAAAGCAACUGGGACCGUGUCUUAGUGGUACAGGUUGCAAAGGUGACAAGAUACAUAUGUUGUCAUAUAUGCUUAAUGUAUAUAUGUAUGAAAUCACGCAUGUCUGUAUAUUUAAUGAAAUCAUUGUGCUUAUGUAGGGGCCUCUGUGGCAAUUAAUGGAUGUUUCAAGGUAUCCCUGGGCGGAGAUCCGCGAGACAUAUGCUGUUGGUAAAUCCAUAAGCAAACAUACACUGGACGUCCACCAUAUUAAAGUGUGCGGACGUUCUGUUACGACCCCACUCCCCAAAUCUACGUCCCCUGUUCGUACCACGGAUAUUGUUUCCCGGACAUGGACGUUCGGAUCUGAAUCGGAUAUUCACCGGACAUUUGUGGUCCAUUGGGCAACAAAAACUUCUCGCACUCAGUUUUCGCUGUCAUUUACGCAGUGACUGGUUCUGUCGGCAAAGGUUCUUGUGAUAUCGUGCAUUGAUGCUGACCAUUGAAGUUUGCUGUUAACACUUUUGCUCCUCUCUUUGUUUACCUAGAUCUAUGUUCACAGGGAAUGUAUUUGCAGUAUCUUCAUAUUCCAUUUUUUAAAUAUGUGAUGUUUGUGCUUUUCUUCAUGGCUGUACCUUUCAUAAUUUUUCUUUGUGCGACUGCUACCUGUGGAGGUGGUGUUUGGCACACAUUAGCAC